UCUCCGUAGGUGAACCAGCGGAGGGAUCAUUACCGAGCGAGGGCCUCGCGCCCGACCGCCAACCCUUAGAAGUGGCCAAACUCUGUUGCCUUGGGCGCGACCCAUCCCCCGUCCCGGGGCCCCCAACGGCCCACACUAACCCUGCGUUAUCGCCUCGGAGUUUAAAGGCAAUCAAUUAAAACUUUCAACAACGGAUCUCUUGGUUCUG
rnacentral:misc_RNA from 1 species